rnacentral:snRNA from 1 species
AUCGCUUCUCGGCCUUUUGGCUAAGAUCAAGUGUAGGAAAACUCACUAAUUUGCAAUCAGCCUCUUCAAGAGAAAAAUGAAGCUUCACUAAUUUAAUUUAGUAAGUUGGAAGUGUAUUGUGCAUUUUUAUCUCAAUAAUACUAAUAAAGCCUUUGGUAGCUUUCUCUUAGUCCCUACA